UAUUAGCCUACUAUCAAAAUGACUUUAAAAUUAUUUGAUAAGUGUUGCAGUGUUUUUUGCAAGUUCCUGUCCUGCGCUUUUAUUUUGGUGACUCUUCCUGUUGGGUCUGUGCUUUUUCUUUCUUUCUGUGACCGCUUCACACAUCUUUUGUCUUCACACCUGUUGCCCCUGAUUGGCAGCCAGGCCACACCUGCUGUCAAUCAAGUGGCUGCCACUCCUUGGCAUAUCUCCCGUGUUUCUGUUUUCCCGGUUCCUGGUUCCCUGUCUGAUUCCUUUGGAUAUUUAAAGUCGUGUUUUCUGCAGCUCGGUGGUUAGUCACCUGCACAUCCUGACAGCCUGGACCCCGGGGUGCAGAGAGGGAAGGACAAGUGCAGAAGGACAACAGUCUCCGGCAGAAAUCCACCAAUCGGGCCCCGUAUAAAGUUUGCCAAAAUGCACCCGAAAGGCUCUACAGUGAAGCAUGCUCGCUGGGAUGGUUUUCAGCGUCAGGAUAGAGGGAAAUACGAAUGCAGCUACCAACAGAGACAUUAAGGACGAAAACCACCGCUUUCCAUCCAACCUAGUAGCGCUUGAGAGUGAUGAUGCCACCUGUCAGCUGACCCAGCGGUCCUGGAUGCACGUGCUGCUGGAUCCAAUGUCGCCUCACGCCGGAGGAGUAGAAGAUGAGAAGAUGCAGUGCUGAGUCAUACAAGACACCACACAUGCACAACAAAGCACAAACCAAAAGAAAACAUGAAAAAUGGGUCCUGAAAUCCGUGGAAUCCUUCUCGUGGCUAAUUUGAAUACUGUUAAUAUUUGGUGUUGGUUUUGCUCAGCUUUUAAAGGCGUUAAAUGUUGAGGAUCUGUGUCUUCGUUAGUCCGUUACGUUGGUUUUCUCAGGAGCGGGAGAAAGAAGUCCACACCGGCGAAAACUCCCUUACUGUGAAAACUCCAUCACUGUGAAAAGGGACCGAAGUUCAAGUUUUAAUCCGACGUUUUUGUGUUUGGCAAGUUUCUUUAAGUCGGCUGUGUCUUACUGAAGCAAAGUUGUG